AGCCGGUUCGUUCAAUGGGAGGACGGCGGUCCUACACACCGCACACGGGGGUUCGAUUCCCUCACCGGCUACCA
rnacentral:tRNA from 1 species